rnacentral:rRNA from 1 species
CUACGGGUGGCAGCAGUGGGGAAUAUUGGGCAAUGGGCGCAAGCCUGACCCAGCAACGCCGCGUGAAGGAAGAAGGCUUUCGGGUUGUAAACUUCUUUUCUCAGGGACGAAGCAAGUGACGGUACCUGAGGAAUAAGCCACGGCUAACUACGUGCCAGCAGCCGCGGUAAUACGUGGGUGGCAAGCGUUAUACGGAUUUACUGGGUGUAAAGGGCGUGUAGGCGGGGACGCAAGUCAGAUGUGAAAACCACGGGCUCAACCGGUGGCCUGCAUUUGAAACUGUGUUUCUUGAGUACUGGAGAGGCAGACGGAAUUCCUGGUGUAGCGGUGAAAUGCGUAGAUAUUAGGAGGAACACCAGUGGCGAAGGCGGUCUGCUGGACAGCAACUGACGCUGAGGCGCGAAAGCGUGGGGAGCAAACAGGAUUAGAUACCCCUGUAGUC